GGCUGCAGAGAUUCCAUUUUUGUAGAAGAAUGAAAAGAUCGAGUUGCCCAGUCCUAUAUAGUAUUUUGGAGUGGUCAAGAAAUUAAUUACAAGCACAAACCCACACAUUUAACCUUAUAUAUGUAUAUAUUAGUUGUCGAAGUAAAAGGAGUGAAUAAAUCUUGAACAACGGCAAGAUUCGCAACAUAUUGAGGGAGAGCUGGAAAGGUAAUCUUGAUAAGCUGACUCACUUCCAUUUAUUAUGAGACAUGUCCAUAAAUUUAUUGGCUGAAGGAUCAUAUGUUGACAUUAUCAUUUAUUUAGAUUGAAAUAUGACUUUUCCUUUAUCAUCGUGUAUAUUUUCAUGCUCGAGUUAAUCAAAAGUGAUAUUCAAAUAACGACUCAAAAUUUCAAACCCGAGAGAGAUAUUCUAUUAAUUAUGUAUAUAUAGAUGGAAGUACUUUUUAACUUUUGAAGCAUUACCGUUAACCAAUGAGAAGUCAUAUAUAUGAUACACUGGUAUUGGAGAAGUAACAUAACAAGAGUAGCAAAAGAAAUUUUACCUCAAAAGGCAAACGACAUAACUUGCUUUCAUCUUCAUGUGAAAGAAAGCAGAGUCUCAACCCAAUUGAGCAGAUGUUGAUUGAUGAUGAGAAGGUACCUACCUUUUUCUUUUUUUCUUUUUUUUUUUUUUUCUUUUAUCAGAAAAAAUUUGGACAAUUUCCCAGUCUAUGUCCUUUCAAAUUUACAAUAAGCCAUAAUUACAUAGUAGAAAUGAGGAAUGAAAUUGUAAUAAAGAUGGGUUAAUCCAAAUUUAUUUAUAUUAAUUGUGAGAAUAUAUUCUGUUCCAAUGUUAUAUACAGCUCAUUACAUUCCAUCCAUGCAUAUUAAUAUAGAUAGAUAGAAACACAAAUCCAAUGAAUGAGUAGGAACUUUGUGAGACUUGAAGAGAUCUAGAGCAUCAAAUAUAUAAACC
rnacentral:lncRNA from 1 species